GACAGCCAGAGGAAAAAGUGGAGUGGACAAUGGACUUGGAGAUGUCAAGGCAGCCAUAUACAGUGAGGAGGAGCAUUACCUGGGAGUGGACUUCGAAAUGAUAGCCUGUCUUUUUGUUCAACUCUGUUGGAAUCCACUUGAUGGGGACAGGGCAUUCCUUUAUUCCUCUUGACAUGUUUGUAUUUGCCAUUGCCCCAUAGGAGAUGAGGAACUGCAGAUGGAUGGAAGGGCUGACCUGC